GGUCCGUGCGUCAGCUGAGAGCAGAGGGAAGGUGCCCAUUAAAUGAAAACGCAUUUAACAUGCAGGAGGUGGCUGUUACCUGUCCAUCAGGUUUGCAGCAUAAAGCCAAUAUGAUAUGAAACUUUGAAUGGCACGCAAAGAAAAUAAUGCAAAGGAUUGUAAGUGUUUCCAUAGGCAAAACAAUAAAUCCAGAUGGCAUGCUGGAUCAACCCGAGCCGAUGAAAAAUAACAGUGGAGGGCCAAAAAGGCUGAAAAAAAAAAUUGUAUGAAGGUGGCGAUAGAAUAAGAAUUUCACACCUACAGUACCUACCACACAUGGCUUUCACACAUCGGAUAGGGCUUGGAGAGAAAGCCCAGAUGAACACAAAUGUAAAUGUACCAUUUUAGUAUACAUGACAUUAGGUAAUGUUAUUGUCUUAUGCUUUUCACUGUAAUAUCUGUAUCUUCCGGUUUCAUAAUAAACAUUCAACAAUGCACCCAAACAAAGAAUACUGCAUUUGAGUUUUUUUU
rnacentral:lncRNA from 1 species